GGUAAAAAGCUCGUAGUUGGAUUUCUGUUGAGGAUGACCGGUCCGCUCUUUGAGCGCGUAUCUGGUUCAGCCUUGGCAUCCUCUUGGGGAACGCUACUGUGCUUGAUUGCAUGGGGCGGUAUUCAAGACUUUUACUUUGAGGAAAUUAGAGUGUUCACUGCAAGCGUUAGCAAUUGAAUACAUUAGCAUGGAAUAAUAAUAUAGGACCUUGGUACUAUUUUGUUGGUUUCUAGAACUAAGGUAAUGAUUAAUAGGGACAAUUGGGGGCAUGCGUAUUAACGCGUCAGAGGUGGAAUUCUUAGAUCGCGUUACGACGAACUACUGCGAAAGCAUUUGCCAAGGAUGUUUUCAUUGAUCAAGAACGAAAGUAUGGGGAUCGAAGACGCUUAGAUACCGUCGUAGUCUAUACCAUAAACUAUGCCAACUAGAGAUUGGAGGUCGUUCUCUUUAUGACUCCUUCAGCACCUUAUGAGAAAUCAAAGUCUUUGGGUUCCGGGGGGAGUAUGGUCGCAAGGCUGAAACUUAAAGGAAUUGACGGAAGGGCACCACCAGGAGUGGAGCCUGCGGCUUAAUUUGACUCAACACGGGAAAACUUACCAGGUCCAGACAUAGUAAGGAUUGACAGAUUGAUAGCUCUUUCUUGAU
rnacentral:rRNA from 1 species